rnacentral:rRNA from 1 species
AGAGCGAACGCUGGCGGCGUGCUUAACACAUGCAAGUCGAACGCGCAGCAUUCUGUAGCAAUACAGGGUGUGGGCGCGUGGCGAACGGGUGCGUAACACGUGGAUAACCUUCCUUCAGGUGGGGAAUAACCCAGUUAAAAUUGGGCUAAUACCACAUAACAAAACGAUGAGACAUCUUGUUGUUUUCAAAGGCGCAAGUCGCCAGAAGAGGGAUCCGCGGCCGAUUAGCUUGUUGGCGAGGUAAUGGCUCACCAAGGCAAUGAUCGGUA